rnacentral:misc_RNA from 1 species
CAAAUUAGUAGCAAUUAUUCUAUUUUGCAAAUUAGUAGCAAUCCUAGAAUGCUCAAUAGAAUUUUUCUCUGGGUUACAUACCAAUUAAUUUAGUAGCAAAGUUAGGCUGCUUGUUGUUGUACCUACCCUCCUUUUCCUAAUGCUAUCAGGGUAUGAGGAGUUUAUGCUUGGUAUUUUAUCAUUCUUUCAUGUGAUUCUUUUAUGCAACCUCUCAUGUUUAUGAUCUUGUUACUUCUAAG